rnacentral:tRNA from 1 species
GCGACCAUAAUUUAGUGGCAAAAUACAUCCUUGCCAAGGAUGAGAUGCGGGUCCGAUUCCCGCUGGUCGCACAA